rnacentral:rRNA from 1 species
UCCGAGUGCGAGGGCAUAUAGCCCUCGCUUUUCUGUACCGUAAGGUGGUACAGGAACAAGGACUGGGCAAGACCGGUGCCAGCCGCCGCGGUAAUACCGGCAGUCCAAGUGAUGGCCGAUAUUAUUGGGCUAAAGCGUCCGUAGCCGGCCGGACAAGUCCGUUGGGAAAUCGACGCGCUCAACGCGUCGGCGUCCAGCGGAAACUGUCCGGCUUGGGGCCGGAAGACCUGAGGGGUACGUCCGGGGUAGGAGUGAAACCCUGUAAUCCUGGACGGACCACCAAUGGGGAAACCACCUCAGGAAGACGGACCCGACGGUGAGGGACGAAAGCUAGGGUCUCGAACCGGAUUAGAUACCCGGGUAGUCCUAGCUGUAAACGAUGCUCGCUAGGUGUGCCGUAGGCUACGAGCCUGCGCUGCGCCCUAGGGAAGCCGAGAAGCGAGCCGCCUGGGAAGUACGUCUGCAAGGAUGAAACUUAAAGGAAUUGGCGGGGGAGCACCACAACCGGAGGAGCCUGCGGUUUAAUUGGACUCAACGCCGGACAUCUCACCGGUCCCGACAGUAGUAAUGACGGUCAGGUUGACGACUUUACCCGACGCUACUGAGAGGAGGUGCAUGGCCGCCGUCAGCUCGUACCGUGAGGCGUCCUGUUAAGUCAGGCAACGAGCGAGACCCGCACUUCUAGUUGCCAGCAAUACCCUUGAGGUAGUUGGGUACACUAGGAGGACUGCCGCUGCUAAAGCGGAGGAAGGAACGGGCAACGGUAGGUCAGUAUGCCCCGAAUGGACCGGGCAACACGCGGGCUACAAUGGCUCUGACAGUGGGAUGCAACGCCGAGAGGCGAAGCUAAUCUCCAAACGGAGUCGUAGUUCGGAUUGCGGGCUGAAACCCGCCCGCAUGAAGCUGGAUUCGGUAGUAAUCGCGUGUCAGAAGCGCGCGGUGAAUACGUCCCUGCUCCUUGCACACACCGCCCGUCAAAGCACCCGAGUGGGGUCCGGAUGAGGCCGUCAUGCGACGGUCGA